rnacentral:rRNA from 1 species
UACGUAGGGAGCAAGCGUUGUUCGGAAUCACUGGGCUUAAAGGGCGCGUAGGCGGCCGGGUUGGUCGUGGGUGAAAUCCCCCAGCUUAACUGGGGAACUGCCUACGAUACUGCCUGGCUCGAGGGAGGAAGGGGCGGUCGGAACUGUCGGUGGAGCGGUGAAAUGCGUUGAUAUCGACAGGAACGCCGGUGGCGAAAGCGGACCGCUGGCCCUCUUCUGACGCUGAGGCGCGAAAGCCAGGGGAGCGGACGGG